GAGGUUGCAGCAAGAAAUCAAGUGAUGUGACCACGAAGUUAAAAUAAUCAAAGGACGAGAGGCACAAGUAGGACCACGUAAUGGCCUCACAAGGCAGAUGCCAUCGAUGACAGCAACACAGGAAUCUACUACAACUCAGUACCUGAUCUAUCUUGCAACCCAUCACCUGCUUCUUGUGGCCGAGAGCAAGCAAGAAAACCGCAACAAGCUGCCCCUCGCUUAACGAUGGCUUAGAUUCCUUUUCGCAAGAAGCACAGCAACGGUUAAACUAGCGGAAGAACACACGGCAAAAGCUCCUCCCAACAGCGUGCAUCAGGCAGCAGAUGAGAUGGCUGUCAGGGGGUGGUGCAUGGACUGUUACGCAAAGGAAGAGCAAAGGCGUUUGGCAUCUGAUCGAGCCGCUUUGCCUGCCUUCCCCGACGCAAUAAAAAUUGGUGGCAGUGGUGGCAAAGAGGAGCAGCUGUGGAGGUAUUGAAAUGAUGGCUUGUCUCCGACGGGGACGGCAGGAUGUCCCUCCAAAGCAGGGGGCAGUCAGACCCCGAACCCUCUCCUGCGAGCAAAAGAGUUGCACGCCUGGAGAGCAUUGCAGAGAACUUUAGGAGUGGGAGGCGAGUGGAACGCAAUAUUAUAAACGGGAAGUCUCAGUUGCAUAAGAAGAAGAAGAAGAAGCUACAAGCCUAAAAGCUGCUCACCAGAU
rnacentral:lncRNA from 1 species